rnacentral:rRNA from 1 species
UACGGAGGGUGCGAGCGUUGUCCGGAAUCACUGGGCGUAAAGGGCGCGUAGGUGGCGCAGGGAAGUCAACGGUGAAAGUUCGGGGCUCAACCCUGAAUCGGCCGUCGAUACUCCUGGGCUCGAGCACUGUAGAGGCAGAUGGAAUUCCGGGUGUAGCGGUGGAAUGCGCAGAUAUCAGGAGGAACACCGGUGGCGAAGGCGGGUCUCUGGGCAGUAACUGACGCUGGAGGAGCGAAA